rnacentral:rRNA from 1 species
UUUGGAAUUUUGGACAAUGGGCGAAAGCCUGAUCCAGCGACGCCGCGUGGUGGAUGAAGGUCUUCGGAUCGUAAACACCUUUUGCUUGGGAGCAAUAUUUUGAGAGUACCAAGCGAAUAAGAGGUUGCUAACUCUGUGCCAGCAGCAGCGGUAAUACAGAGACCUCAAGCGUUAUCCGGAAUCAUUGGGCGUAAAGCGUACCGAUCGGUGGUUUUACAAGUCAGAGGUGAAAUCUCUCAGCUCAACUGGGAGACUGUCCUUUGAAACUGUAAAGCUAGAGGGGCAAAGAGGAAGCUAGAACUAACGGUGUAGGGGUAAUAUCCGUUGAUCUCGUUAGGAAUACCAAUAGCGAAGGCAGGCUUCUGGGUGCCACCUGACACUGCUAGGACGAAAGCGUGGGGAGCAAAAAGG